rnacentral:rRNA from 1 species
CCUACGGGUGGCAGCAGUGGGGAAUAUUGCACAAUGGGGGAAACCCUGAUGCAGCGACGCCGCGUGAGUGAAGAAGUAAUUCGUUAUGUAAAGCUCUAUCAGCAGGGAAGAAACUGACGGUACCUGAGUAAGAAGCCCCGGCUAACUACGUGCCAGCAGCCGCGGUAAUACGUAGGGGGCAAGCGUUAUCCGGAUUUACUGGGUGUAAAGGGAGCGUAGCCGGGGUGACAAGUCUGAUGUGAAGUCCUGCGGCUUAACCGCAGAACUGCAUUGGAACCUGUUUAGCUGGAGUACCGGAGAGGUAGGCGGAAUUCCUAGUGUAGCGGUGAAAUGCGUAGAUAUUAGGAGGAACACCAGUGGCGAAGGCGGCUUACUGGACAGUAACUGACGGUGAGGCGCGAAAGCGUGGGGAGCAAACAGGAUUAGAUACCCCGGUAGUC